rnacentral:lncRNA from 1 species
AAAUGGGCGAUAUCUUUUUGCGCCAAAAAGUAACCCAUUUGCGCCACAACUUAAUUGCGCCAAUACUUCUUUUGCGCCACAUAAUUUUCAAAACUAUAGGUAUCAUUUGCGACAAUGAAAUAAUCAUCUAAUUGCGCCAAUUUUAUUUAUUUUUAUUUAUAUAUAACAACUAAAUGAUUGACUUCCAUCCCUCAUUUUUGGGCUUGGGUCCGUCCGGCAGUUUACCGACUGGCGGAGUUAAAGUCAUUUUAAUAACGAAAUGUAUGCUGAAUUAAAACGUUCACCCGUAUAUAUACAGUUAAAACCAUAUAAAAUGUCUCUGUUCAUCAUUGAAUUAAAGGCUGGUAUUUGUAGUUGAGAAUAGACACAUAUUCCUUUCUGCUUACUUCUCUACUCAUUAGUUCUUUACAAAUGCCUGACGGAAUUUGUGUUCUUCAACAAUGAUGACCGGUUUUCCUCUAUCAGACUCUAGUUUUUGAAUGGUAUAUCAGACAUCUUGAGUCGUGAAAAAAUAUUCUUUUACUAAACAAUUUAUUUUUUGGUGAGUUUUCUUAAAUUUGAUAAGUGUUCAGUUAAAUUUUAAGUGGAAAGGUUAAUUAUAAUACAUGUCUGAUAUUGGUAAAACAUGUACAUG